ACACUGACGGGACGCCUGGCUGGGCCAUGGCCGGCGCUCGGGCUGCCGCCGCCACCGCCUCGGCGGGGUCCUCGGCCUUUUCGGGCAACCCGCAGCCGCAGGAGCCGGGGCUUGGGGAGCUGCUGGAGGAGUUUUCCCGGACUCAGUACCGGGCCAAGGACGGCAGUGGGACCGGCGGCUCUAAGGUUGAGCGCAUUGAGAAGAGAUGUCUGGAGCUGUUUGGCCGAGACUACUGUUUCAGCGUGAUUCCAAACACGAACGGGGAUAACUGCGGCCACUAUCCCCGGCACAUCGUGUUCCUGGAGUAUGAGAGUUCUGAGAAGGAGAAAGACACGUUUGAGAGUACCGUACAGGUGAGCAAGUUGCAAGACCUCAUCCACCGCAGCAAGAUGGCCCGGUGCAGAGGACGGUUUGUCUGCCCAGUAAUCCUGUUCAAGGGCAAGCACAUUUGCAGGUCGGCCACACUGGCUGGAUGGGGAGAGCUGUAUGGACGCUCAGGCUACAACUAUUUUUUCUCAGGGGGUGCAGAUGAUGCCUGGGCAGAUGUGGAGGACGUCACGGAGGAGGACUGUGCUCUUCGAAGUGGUGACACGCAUGUUUUUGAUAAGGUCAGAGGCUAUGACAUCAAGCUGCUUCGAUACCUGUCAGUCAAAUACAUCUGUGACCUGAUGGUGGAGAACAAGAAGGUGAAGUUUGGCAUGAAUGUAAUCUCCUCUGAGAAGGUGGACAAAGCCCAGCGCUAUGCCGACUUCACUCUCCUCUCCAUCCCGUAUCCAGGCUGUGAAUUUUUCAAGGAAUAUAAAGAUCGGGAUUACAUGGCAGAAGGGCUCAUAUUUAACUGGAAGCAGGACUAUGUUGAUGCCCCACUGAGCAUCCCUGACUUCCUGACUCACUCUCUGAACAUUGACUGGAGCCAGUGUCAGUGUUGGGACCUGGUGCAACAAACACAAAACUACCUGAAGCUGCUGCUUUCCUUAGUUAACAGCGAUGAUGACAGCGGGCUGCUGGUACACCGUAUCUCAGGCUGGGAUCGGACCCCCCUCUUCAUCUCCCUCCUGCGCCUUUCCUUGUGGGCUGAUGGGCUCAUCCACACGUCCCUGAAGCCUGCUGAGAUCCUCUACCUCACUGUGGCCUAUGACUGGUUCCUCUUUGGGCACAUGUUGAUAGAUCGGCUCAGCAAAGGGGAGGAGAUUUUCUUCUUCUGCUUCAAUUUUUUGAAGCAUAUUACCUCCGAGGAGUUCUCUGCUCUGAAGACCCAGAGGAGGAAGAGUUUGCCAGCCCGGGAUGGAGGCUUCACCCUGGAAGACAUCUGUAUGCUGAGACGAAAGGACCGUGGCAGCACCACCAGCCUUGGCAGCGACUUCUCCCUGGUCAUGGAGAGUUCCCCAGGAGCCACUGAGAGCUUCACCUAUGAGGCCGUGGAGUUGGUCCCAGCAGGAGCGCCGACUCAGGCAGUUUGGCUUGCAGCCCUGAGUGAUCGAGAGACUCGGCUGCAGGAGGUGCGCUCAGCCUUCUUGGCUGCCUACAGCAGCACGGUGGGGCUUCCGGCAGUAGCCCCCAGUCCCUCUGGUGCCAUCGGGGGCCUGUUGGAGCAGUUUGCCCGUGGUGUCGGACUCCGGGGCAUCAGCAGCAAAUGCCUUGUGAAGAAGCCAGCCCAUGACAGUUUCCUGCUCCUCUCUCAGCUGAGCCCUCAGCAGAAUCAAAGCCAUGCCUGGCCAAAGGGGUACUUCCAGGUCAGGGGAAAUUUCACUCCCCCAUCUCCAUCAUGUACAUGGCAGCCCCAAAGCUGA